UCUGCCCUGCUCCCCAGCGCCCCCGGGCUGGUUGCGCGUCGUCAGACCGCGGGAGUGGGGCGAGGGGGCGUCCGGGGAAAAGUGGGGAGCCCUGGCGAGCCCCUCCCGCGCCCGGGCCGCGGCGCUGAAUCACCGGCCAGGUUUCUGCAAAUGCGUGAAUGAGCCGGAUGCCAGCCUCUGUCCCCUGGAGCCCAGCGUGAGGAAGAGGCAUGCCCCAUCAGGCUUCAGCUUGAGCCCGGCGGCCCCCGCCCCCGCCCCCUGUCACCCUGCACUGCCCCGGCUCCCCCGCGGCCCCCACGCUGCAGUGCGGCCGGGCCCCCUCCCCGCAGGGGCCGCCCCGCCGCCCACCCCUAGCGCCCGUGGUGGUGGUGGUGGU
rnacentral:sRNA from 1 species